GACGUAGGGUCCAAGCGUUGUCCGGAAUUAUUGGGCGUAAAGGGCUCGUAGGCGGUUUGUCGCGUCGGGAGUGAAAACCCAGGGCUUAACCCUGGGCUGGCUUUCGAUACGGGCAGACUAGAGGUAUGCAGGGGAGAACGGAAUUCCUGGUGUAGCGGUGAAAUGCGCAGAUAUCAGGAGGAACACCGGUGGCGAAGGCGGAUCUCUGGGCCAUUACUGACGCUGAGGAGCGAAAGCGUGGGGAGCGAACAGG
rnacentral:rRNA from 1 species